rnacentral:rRNA from 1 species
CCUACGGGGGGCAGCAGUGGGGAAUAUUGCACAAUGGGGGGAACCCUGAUGCAGCAACGCCGCGUGAGUGAUGACGGCCUUCGGGUUGUAAACCUCUGUCAGCAGGGAAGAACGGUCACUGUGCUAAUCAGCAGUGAAUUGACGGUACCUGCAAAGGAAGCACCGGCUAACGCCGUGCGAGCAGCCGCGGUAAUACGGAGGGUGCGAGCGUUAAUCGGAAAUACUGGGGGUAAAGCGCUCGUAGGCGGUAUGUCAAGUCAAGGGUGAAAUCCCCGGGCUCAACGUGGGAACUGCCUUUGAAACUGGCAAGCUGGAGUGUGUGAGAGGAUAGUGGAAUUACAGGUGUAGGAGUGAAAUGCGUAGAUAUCUGGAGGAACAUCAGUGGCGAAGGCGACUAGCUGGCACAGAACUGACGCUGAGGAGCGAAAGCGUGGGUAGCGAACAGGAUUAGAUACCCGGGUAGUC